rnacentral:rRNA from 1 species
CAGCGCCACGAGUGGGAACCACAUUUAUUGGGUCUAAAGCGUUCGUAGCCGGUUUAGUAAAUCUUUUGUGAAAUUGUCGGGCUUAACCUGACAGCGUGCAGAAGACACUGCUAAACUUGAGACCGGGAGGGGUUAGAAGUAUUUCAGGGGGAGCGGUAAAAUGUUAUAAUCCCUGAAAGACUACCAAUGGCGAAGGCAUCUAACCAGAACGGAUCUGACGGUGAGGAACGAAGGCCAGGGGAGCGAACCGGAUUAGAUACCCGAGUAGUCC